AUUCACUUAAGAGGUUUCUAGAAAUGGUUAUUAGAGUUUGGAUGCGUCAAAUUCAUGUUAUUUUACAUGCAUAAAUUAUUUUUUAAUUGUCAGUUUCCUAUGAAGGUCCACCUUGAUUUCUCUUGUUUGUUAGUGUUGGUAAAUUUAAUUGGUAGUGUAUGGAGUAGAAUCGGGCUUUCAUAUAUUGUAUUUGUGUUUUAGACACCAGAUUCACGCUUACUGUAUUUGACAAUUGCUUAUCGUAUUUGACAGUUCAAUUCACUAUAUAUGACAGCUUACCAUAUAUGCCAAGCAGCUCACCGUAUUUGGCAGCUUACCGUAUAUGUCAGGCACCUUACCGUAUUUGCAGCUUACCGUAUAUGCUACCUAUCGUAUUUGCAGAAAGCUCACCGCAAAUGGCAGCUCACUGUAUUUGAAGGCGAAACUCACCGUAUUUGCACAAAUUUUUUAUAAAGUGUUUUUAUUCAUACACAAACUAAAAUAACA
rnacentral:lncRNA from 1 species